rnacentral:rRNA from 1 species
UACGUAGGGUGCGAGCGUUGUCCGGAAUUAUUGGGCGUAAAGGGCUCGUAGGCGGUUUGUCACGUCGGGAGUGAAAACACCGGGCUUAACUCGGUGCUUGCUUUCGAUACGGGCAGACUAGAGGCAUGCAGGGGAGAACGGAAUUCCUGGUGUAGCGGUGAAAUGCGCAGAUAUCAGGAGGAACACCGGUGGCGAAGGCGGUUCUCUGGGCAUGUCCUGACGCUGAGGAGCGAAAGUGUGGGGAGCGAACAGG